AGUAGAGUAAGCUAAUUGUAAGCUGUUGGGUUCAUACCCCAAAAAUGAAUUUGUAUUCCUUUAUUA
rnacentral:tRNA from 1 species